CAUGAGACUCAUAGGUCGCGAGUAUUGAUAUUACAUAUAUAAGAUACAGGAAAUACUUAAAAUUUCUCCAGUGAGAACUAUCAGAUCGACUUGCAAACAUUGGUGAAUCUGAGUUGACGUUAGACAAAACGAUACGGCACUCUCUUUGAAUAUUAUUUAAAUUUUAAAAUUCGUUUUCUAUUUUUUCCUUCUAAUCACUAUGGAUAUCGUACAUAAAAAGUGUUCAUUUUUAAUUGCAUUUGGCUACUUCGUAGUAUUCAUACACUUUGCGAGUGUGACAGUACAAGCAAAUGUUUGUACGGUGCCUCCCCAACCAGCAAAUGGUUUUCGGCAAUUAUGUUGGAUGCAAUGUCCAUCGCAAGAAACCAAUGCAACGAUGCACGAUUGCGACGUGCAAGAUGGUACAAAAUUACCAGCUUUGACUCAUUUAAUUUAUACCUGUAAUUCUGGAUAUCAACUAAACAGUUCCAGUGAUGUAUUUUGUGACCAAGGUGGGAACUGGUCAGAUAUUCCAGUUUGUACUGAAUCGUCUGGUUUGCUUGGAACCAACGCAGUGUUGAGUCGUCGCAACGAUCGUGAAGCAGUUGCACAUUUUCAAUUCAAAGAAGUAAAUGAAGAUACAGAAUGCGGUGUUGUUUCUCUGAAAUACAAUCCUUUCAUUACGAACGGCAGUAUCUUUAAUGAAACCAUGAUUCCAUGGCACGCUACUUUAUAUUAUCAAGAAUUCCCAAACGGACCGAAGAAAUUUAUUUGCGGAGCAACAAUAGUAAAAAAGAAAUACCUUCUAGCCGCAGCGCAUUGCGUCUACGACGAUACGAUUCAAUCGAUAAACGACCCAAAUAAAUAUUAUAUUUUAACUGGAAACAUUUAUCGUGACUACGAUUCUUCCCUGCACGAUGAAAGAUUCGUUAAAAAGGCCAAAGUUAAAAACAUUUAUGUUCCUUCUGAUUAUAAGGGCUACGAAGGAAAUUAUGCUAAUGACAUAGCAAUAUUGGAAAUCGAAAUACCAUUUGUUUUGUCAUCUACGUUAACCCCUGCGUGUAUAAAUGGUGAUAUUUUUCAAUCUGGAAUAGGUCUCGUUUCAGGAUUUGGUAAAACACAUGAAGGAACGUCCAGUUCUAUUCUACAAUCUGUAUUAUUGCCCUAUGUUCCUCGUGAUCAAUAAAAUUCGUGGAGAAAUUGGGCCGUUGGACUUGAGUGGACCGGACUCGAACCACGGAUCUUUCGCAUUCCGGGCGACUGCUUUUUAUCUAUUGAGCUAUCUAGGACCCACUGUCCAAUCCCUUCACGAAUGCCUAUUUAAGUAUUUGACAUGGAGGAACAGCUGUCUGCGAUGGUGACAGCGGAGGAGGAUUUGUAUCUUCAACUGGAAAUUUAGUUUUUCUACGAGGAAUCGUAAGUCUCUCUCU
rnacentral:misc_RNA from 1 species